rnacentral:lncRNA from 1 species
AUUUUUUUAAUAUGAAAAUAUAUUAACAAACAACAUAAAUCAGUCAUAGGCUCGUAGCACAUCAACAUAAAUAUAAAUAAUAUUGACGAUUAAGAGAGUGAUUAUUAGCCAAUUACAUACACAAUAUAUCCCAAAAAGAGCAUCAUCAGUGUUAUACUAUAUCCAAAAUGAACAUUGUUAGUGUUAUACUAUAUCGAUCUAAAAAAGAAACACUAUAUUAAAAAAAGAACACAUCAAUACUCAAGAGUUAAGUUAUUUUAGUUAAUAUUAAUUGGGAAGUAUCGGGGCAGAUACCGGUGUAGGAUAAUGAUCGGAUACUCUCCUGAUACGUAUCG